rnacentral:lncRNA from 1 species
CGCCCACGUCAUGGCGCCUGAGGAGAACGCGGGUACCAAACUCUUGCUGCAGAGUUUCGAGCGCCGCUUCCUAGCGGCGCGCACACUGCGCUCCUUCCCCUGGCAGGUGGGCGGCGGGGCGAGCGGAGAGGCCUGCGGGGCUUGCGGAAGUCCAGGGGCAGACGGGAUGGGUCUCCCUGCUGAAACCCCCGGCGCUCCUGCCACGUGAGUUCCUGGGCUCUCCCCGGUCAGGGCCACGAGACCCGGUCCCCGUCCCUGGGGCCUGGCCAGAGUCGCUCUCACCCCUCCUGCCCCGCGAGCUGGCGGCGGAAGCUGGGGGCGUCUCCACAGUCUUGGGGGGCAGACGCGCGCUCGGUGUGGGGUACAGUUCACGAUCAUUUUCAUGACUUUUUAAAGGCAGUAAUCGUUCUGGUCACUGGGACACAGCUGCCCUCGCCCAUUCUAAAAAGUCAGCACCCUCAGGCCCGCGGGUAACCACCUCCUCCUGAGCACGGUGACCAGGUCAAAGGCUGUCCCUCGGGCCUCAGUGUUCUCAUCUGUAUGUCGAGCACUGCACAGAAUCAGCUCAUGCGCUGAGGCUUUCACUCCUGUGAUGGAAGAGACAGAGAAGGGGGUGGCCUCUCCUCUCCCUGGGGACCUGCCAUUCUCAGCACAGGCGCAUGGCAGGCAGCAGCCUCCCUUCUGCCAGCAGAGGGGCUUAAUGCACCCUGCUCCAUUUGUAAUUCAUGUGCGGUGAGCUCACUGGGAUGAGUCAGUUUGGAUAUAUAUUCCUCCCUGGGUCUGCCCCAUUUUAUGGGGUGUUGCUUAAUCAUUUGCGUUAUUCCAUUGACAUGAAAUAUUUAGCACUCAGAGAUCAUUUCUGGUCAGGAGAAAUUUGUGCAUUUUUAACCCAAAAUAGAAACCUUCAUAAAAGCAUCAUAGGUCUCCAUUCAGUAUUGACUAUAAUUGUUCACAUGCCCACGCUGAAUGCUAACUUGGGCUCACCAUCAACACCCACGAGGUGGGUACUAUUAUUAUCACUCACAUUUGACCAGAGGGAUUGUUUGAUUAGGGUGUAGUAGUUGAGAGUUCAGACCCAGGAGACAGCCUGCCUGCUUCAAAUCCUGGCCCAACCCCUGGCCCUGUGUGACCUUGGGCAAGUGACUGCAUCUCUCUGUGCUGUUGUUUUCUUAUUAAUAAAAUGGUUGAUAUAAUGAUACCUACCUCUUAGGGUUGUUGUCAGCGUUGAGUACAAAAGCCUGUGGAUCAGUGCCUGGCUCAUGGCAAAUGCAUGUCGGUGUUAGCUAGUGUUUUUAUUCAGUCUCAAAAUGUUUAAUAAAUGCCUUCCGUGAGCCAAGCACCAUGGAUCAGCAGUACCCAUGAUAGAUGAGGCUCUGCUUGCAUGGGAGAGCUAGAGAAUAAACAAAUAAAUGAAUAAACAAGAAAAGACCAGAUGAGAGUGGCUUUAAAGCCAAGAAAACAGGGGAAUGGUGAAUGGACCAACUGGGAAGAAGAGUCACUAAAGUCGGGGAAUCAGGGAAGCCUUCCCCAAAGACGUGGCAUUUGAACUGGGGCCUGAGUGGUGAAGCAGCCAGCCAUGGGAAGGGUUUGGGGAACAGGAUAUGCAAAGGCCCUGUGGUGGAAACAAGCCAGCUGUGGUUGAGGAACAACAGCAAUGCAGCCAGUGUGGCUGGAGUGGAGUGAGCAGUGUGGGCCAGGGGUGAGGGAGAACAGGCCAGAGAGAGGGAUUAGGACCAGGUCUUGUAGGGCCUUUUAUGGCAUGGAAGGAGCUCUGAAGCAAUGAAGUGCCUUGCUGUGUGUCACAUACCAGCCGAGACAGUCUGCCUAACUCGGGAGCCAAAGCUUGCUGCUGGACUUGCCACUGUAAGAGGACAAUGUAACCCAGGCUGGUAUGGGCACAUUCUGCAUUUCCACUUAAACUCAGAUGGCAAGCCCAUCAAACCUUGGUGCCAUGGCUGCCCUGGUAAUUCCUGGCUGACCAGUGCAACCAGGGAGCUGGCCCAUGACCCGGGUGGCCGCUAAGUAGCCAGGACUAAUGCGGCCAAGAGUCAGCCUUCUUCCUGUGACUCAUCCAGGUGCACCCUGCGACAUCUGAAGGUCAGGCUUUCAGCCGCUGUGGCUUCCACUUCCAACUGGCUCCGCGUCCCCAGGGAGGGAUCACAUAGCGCUUUGCCAACACAUUCUAUUGCGUGUUUUAAUGUUCCUGUGAAUGCGCCCUUGAGAUUUCUCUCUCUCCCGUCCACACGGAGCUUAGAAGCAAAAUUAAGAGACUCAUCAGAUUCUGAGCUGCUGCGGGAUAUUUUGCAGAAGGUAAGAAUUCCAGAGUCCCUGGGACUCAUGACCCUGCCUCCUGAAUCUCUCCGGAAGACCUGAGAGAAGAACCACAGGUUCUUUAAAAACACCCCUGUUCAAAGAACAAAACCAUUGAGUCAGCACUGCAGGUAGGUGUCAGCACCUCCGACAGCUCCUGCGCUUUUGUUUUCUAUCUAAGACUUAGACAAAGACAUCAGAAUAUACAAAAAUCUGCAUGAGGGGGGAAAUCUAGGGAAUGUUUUUUAAACUAUCCUCAGCAAAAACAGAGAUGACAGGUGCAAAACAGCUUCUAGCAUUUGGUGGAUGCUCAGAGACUUUCUUUUUUGCAUUCCUGAGGCCUGUCCUGCCCACUCCUGUCUCCUCUAGACCUAAAUGGGCCCUUGCUUUGCCCAGGGUGGGGUUUGGACUCAAGUGCAUCUGCAUGCAGGUGACAGCCAGGAUCACCACCCGGCCCAGCCACAGCGUGACCUUGGCCUUGAGGGCCAAGUGCAGAUCACCCUGCAUCCUGGGUCUUCACCUUCGAAGGGCCAUGAGCCCUUCAGAAAAGACAAAGCAAUAGACUCCCUCCCAGAAAGAAGUGCACCAGAAGAAUACAUUUUCCAUACAAACUCAGGGGAGGCAGACAUCCUCCACCCCCACCCACCCAGCCCAUCCUAGGAGCCCCAGUGAAGAAUUCCUGUGCUAGAGGUGAACCAAGAUGAUCCACUUGGAAAAGAUGCAGCCACAGCAGGGAAGACUUUCGGGGCAAUACAGUAGGUCAGGGCUUCGAGCAUGGAGAUACCUGAAGUUAUCUCGCACCCUGCUCUGAGUUUCACCCUGAGCCUCACUCUCGUAGGUGGUGAAGCAUGAAAUGUAGGGAGAGCUGCUUUAAAACCCAGCACAAGGCUGGGUGCACUGGUUCACACCUGUAAUCCCAGGACAUUGGGAGGCUGAGGUGGACGGAUCACCUAAGGUCAGGAGUUCAAGACCAGCCUAGCCAACAUGGCAAAAACCCAUCUCUACUAAAAAUUUAAAAAAUUAGCUGGGCGUGGUGGUGCACGCCUAUAGUCCCAGCUACUUGGGAGGCUGAGGCAGGAGAAUCGCUUGAACCCAGGAGGCGGAGGCUGCGGUUAGCCAAGAUCGGGCCACUGCACUCCAGCCUGGGCAACAGAGAGAGACUGUGUCAGAAAAAAUGAAAAACCAGCACCAGCAUGAAGAGCCUGUGUAUUGCAUGGGGUACUUUGCUGCCCUUGGGCAGAAUCUGCAUCCCUCCCAGCCAGCAGGCACUGCGGACUGUCUCCUCCCUCUCCCUCCAGGCUCCUGUUUUCCCACCGUCCCCACUCCUGCUGCACCAGUGCAUCUGCCCUCCUUUCCAAGUGCCAGCCUGUGGCCACCUCAGAGCUUGCACCAGCUGUUCCCACUGCCUGGAACUUGCUCAUCCUGCACUUGGCUUCUCUCGGCUUUAGCUGGAGUGUCACCCUGAGCGUCCCCUCCCCUCCAUCCUGUCCCCAGGGACACACACUCCAAGAGAGCAGUUGCCGAGUGGGCCUUCCCGCCUCUUCCAUAGAGCCAGACAGUUGGCGACUGUCCUUACUGCAAGCCCUGGUUCACACUGGCUCCCCUGGGAGGGAGGUGGUUUAGGCCCACGUGCCCUGUGUUCCUGCUCAGAAUGGGCAUUAGAAAUGCUGCAAUAUCCUGUGCCACUGCAGUGGAAGCAUCUUUAGGAAACGGCUUAUAUCUUAAGACAAACUUCAGAUGCGUGGGGCCAGAACGCCGUGUCCAUCUACAUCUUUGCUGAGGGAUCGGGUAGCCUGGAGUUUGCCCUCUGCUGUGUUGGCUUGAAGCUCAUAGGAGACUUAAGACGGGCUCUCGAGCAACCAACGUUCUGUCCUUUGCUGUAGACUGUGAAGCAUCCUGUGUGUGUGAAGCACCCGCCAUCAGUCAAGUGUGCCCAGUGCUUUCUCUCAGAACUCAUCAAAAAUGUCAGCAAUGGGCAGUGUCCGCCCAGUAGCUGGACAGCAUAGCCACCUGCGUGCUGGAGCCCCCGUCCUUCCCAGGCCCUGGGCCUGCUUUGCCAAUACCAGCAUGGCAGGGGCCUCCCCAGGCAACUGGCUGCAGCUGAGUGUGACCCAUGGGAGACAGUGCAGGGCAGGAAGAAGGGGAGACCAGCGUCUCUCCCUCACUCUGCCUCAUGGGGUUUCCACAGCAGCUGCUUCUCUGGGGCCCCAGCUCCUAGAAUAUGAAUUCUCAUUCCUACCAGGCUGGUCCAGCCCACAGCACUGGAACCCUCAUCCACACCCUCUGUCCUGCCCGCUGAAGGGUUUGGAGUUUCCUGCUCUUGUCUGUCUCUGGGUUGCCCCACAGGCCCCUGUUGGAAGAUUUAGCUCUUGCCAUACCUUUGGAACUAGUUCCUCUGUGAAUUCUCUGCAUUGAUCCUGCUGGAAUGAGCUCUUUCCUGACUGAUACAGGAUGGAUUUUAUUUUUUACUUAUUUAUUUAGUUUUUUGAGACAGUCUCACUGUGGUGCCCAGGCUGGAUUACCGUGGCACAAUCUCGGCUCACUGAAACCUCUACCUCCUGGGUUCAAGCAACUCUCGUGCCUAAGAAGCUGGGACUACAGGCACACGCCACCAUGCCUGGCUAAUUUUUGUAUUUUUAGUAGAGAUAGAGUUUCACCAUGUUGGCCAGGCUGGUCUCGAACUCCUGACCUCAGGUGAUCCGCCUGCCUCAGCCUCCCAAAGUGCUGGGAUUACAGGCAUGAGCCACCACACCUGGCCUAGGAUGGAUUUUAAAGAUGGGCCCAAACAUGCAGGGUUUGACAUGAGGAUGUCGAGAGGCCGUUCCUUAGUAGGCAGUAGCAGACCUGCUGAGUGAAAGGGCCACACUUUUAGCAAAUAAACAAUCCCCUGCUUCUCCAAUACCUGCUUUCUCCCUAGUCCUCCCCAAAAGCGUGCAUCUGUGUUCACCAGCAGGUCUGCCCUGUGCCACCAGGAGAGGGCAGCAGUCACCCAGUGUACCCUGCUGCUGCCCUGUGAAUCCUAGGAUGGGACCAGCUGUGGAGAAGCAGCCUGCUGACAGCCACAGCCUGCAGCAUGGGCCGCCCUCACAGUUCUGCCUGGGCUCACUUAAAAGCACCUUUUGUUUUCCUCCUCUCUGUUUGAUCCAAACACAGAGCUCUCUGUCAUGGUCACGUGGCAGCUCUCACGGAAUCCUUGUUUCCUUCCCUAGACUACACCUAACCCUAACCUCUCAACACCUCUUGUUGAAGGCCCUCCCAUCCAGGUUGCCCUACCAAGUGAAAUUUUUUUUAGAGACAAGGUCUCUUGCCCAGGCUGUCCUCGAACUCCUGGGCUCAAGCAGUCCUCCCGUGUCAGCCUCUAGAUUAGCUGGGACUAUUCGGCACACACCACCACACCCAACGAAGUGAGUAUUUUAUAUGCCAGCUGGCUGGUAUUACACCAUUCCAUCCCAAAUCUCCCCUCCAAACUUGGUGAAAAUCAUCUGACCAUUUUUACAGAUUAGAACGAAAGCAAACAAGCUCUCACUCUGUCUGCCCCCAGCACGAGGCUGUCCACACGGAGCUUUUGGACGAGCUGUACGAGGCGCUGGCAGAGACCCUGAUGGCCAAGGAGUCCACCCAGGGCCACUGGAGCUAUUUGCUGCCCUCGGAAGGCUCGGUCACACUCUCCGAGCACAGCCAUCAUCUCCCACGGUACCACAGGCCUGGUCACAUGGGACGCUGCCCGCUACCUUGCAGAAUGGGCCAUCAAGAACCUGGCAGCCUUCACUAACAGACGUGCUGUAUUGCCCAGAAGCCAUCGUGUCCCUGGUCGGGGUCCUGCGGAGGCUGGCUGCCUGCUGGGAGCACCAGCGGGCUCCUGAGGUCUACAUGGCCUUUACCGUCCGCAACCCAGAGACGUGCCAGGUGUUCACCACCGAGCUAGGCUGGGCUGGGAUCAGAUGGGAAGCGGAAGCUCAUCAUGACCAGAAACUGUUUCCCUAUGGAGAGCACUUGGAGAUGGCAAUGCUGAACCUCACACUGUAGGACUCAUACACGACUCCAACGGGAUUGUUAGAAUCAAAUCACUCUCGUGGGAAGAAUUUUUAUAUGGGAAAGCGGAUAAAACUUUCAUUGGACUGGAAUGUUUGGAGAAUGUUAAAUUCCAAAUCAGGAACCACAAUCUGCCCUCUAAUAAGACAUCGGCUAUCUAAGCAUGUGGGUGCCCCCUUUCUGCCAGCAGUUCUGGUUCUUAAGAAAAUCACCAUAAAUCAGACAUGAAAAUUCUGGCUCCAAAAAUAGCAUUUUCUUUGUGCAAAUAAAAACGUGUGUAUCAAGUAUGACGUUCCCCCAACGUGGACACACUCGGUUCCUCACAAAGCCAAGCCCGCUGCAGCUGCCACAUCCCUGGACACACUCGGUUCCUCACAAAGCCAAGCUCGCUGCAGCUGCCACAUCCCUGGACACAUUCGGUUCCUCACAAAGCCAAGCCCGCGGCAGCUGCCACAUCCCUGGACACACUCGGUUCCUCACAAAGCCAAGCCCGCUGCAGCUGCCACAUCCCUGGGCUUGUGGUGCAGCAGGUGCUUUUCUCAAGACAGGAAUCAAAGUGUUAGGAACAUGGCAGAAAGGUGACACCUGGAGACCAAAUGCAGGAUGAGGAGUACUGCAGAGGUCACAGGGAAGUCACAGAACAGUAAUACGCUAGCAGGGACAUGGGGCGUGAAGAACAGAAGAAGACAGGAAGCAUUUCUGAGACUCCAAAGAAGAAAUCAGGGCCAACCACAGCUUCCCGGGUCAUUCACCAGGUGGCACCACUGCCGUCAUUUCAGCUUCUGGCCACUGGGAGGCGCUGCUUGAAAGGGUUUGCCCUGAGACUCCAAGAAGAAGCUGCGGGAAGGACAGCAGGGGCCCUGGGGUUUUAGCCUCUGGCCCAGGAGUUAUGUGUCCAUAACCAAAGGGAGCACAGUCUGCACCCAGCUCUCAUCCCAUCAGAGCUGCUGCGACUCCCGCAGGUUCUUCCGGAACUGGUUUAGCUUGCCUUCAGGAUCAGGAAAGUUUGAGAAAAGCAUCUGCAAAAUACUGAAGAGCAGAGCUUACCUCAUUGCCUGUCCCCACCCCAUCCCAGGUCACCACCUGGAUGACCCCAGCUCCCCGACCCAACAACAACCCCUCCCAAGUCCCUAGCUCCCUCACUUGGACUUGAGACCCUUCACACCCCAGCAGCGCUCCGCCUCCAUCUUGACAUGCUUUCUGGAAACUUCCCCGUAUGUCCCACUUUCCCACACUUGGUGCCCUGGAGCACCUUCCGGCCUCUACAUGAUGUACGUUCCCCUGUGAGCACCCUCCUCUCGGCCUCUGGCCAACACAGUCCCACCCAUCUGUGGGUAACAAGGGGGUGUUCUUUUCAGCCUUGCUAAACUGUCUGAAUCAAGGAUCACAAACUACAGCCUGCAGGCCAAAUCCAGCCCACAGCCUGUGUUUGUAAAUAAAGCUUUAUUGGAACAAAGCCACACCCCUUAAUCUACAGAUGAUCUGUGGCUACUUUCACACCACAACAGAGUACCAUGGUUCUGACAGAGACUGGGGGACCCAGUCUAAA